AUUGAACGCUGGCGGCAUGCCUUACACAUGCAAGUCGAACGGCAGCACGGGUGCUUGCACCUGGUGGCGAGUGGCGAACGGGUGAGUAAUACAUCGGAACAUGUCCUGUAGUGGGGGAUAGCCCGGCGAAAGCCGGAUUAAUACCGCAUACGAUCCACGGAUGAAAGCGGGGGACCUUCGGGCCUCGCGCUAUAGGGUUGGCCGAUGGCUGAUUAGCUAGUUGGUGGGGUAAAGGCCUACCAAGGCGACGAUCAGUAGCUGGUCUGAGAGGACGACCAGCCACACGGGGACUGAGACACGGCCCAGACUCCUACGGGAGGCAGCAGUGGGGAAUUUUGGACAAUGGGCGAAAGCCUGAUCCAGCAAUGCCGCGUGUGUGAAGAAGGCCUUCGGGUUGUAAAGCACUUUUGUCCGGAAAGAAAUCCUUGACUCUAAUACAGUCGGGGGAUGACGGUACCGGAAGAAUAAGCACCGGCUAACUACGU
rnacentral:rRNA from 1 species